rnacentral:lncRNA from 1 species
AUGAAUGUCAUACCACAGCAGACAAUGUUUCUAUGUUUUGUGUAUUUUUCUAAACUUUUAUUAAUUUUUUUUAGGAUAACCGACUUUUUUUGCAAUGAUAUUAUUUUCUUUGUUUCAGGGGUUCAGCCUCAGAGUGUAUCCUAUGGACGAGUGCUGCCAGUUCAAAAUGUUGGUGUUGGAGUAAAACCUGGAGUUACGGGAGCCCUUGGAGCGCUGGGCAGCCGCUACAACACAAAAGCUAUGAAGACUGGAAUUGGACGUUAUCCUGCCGCUCAACUCGGUGUUGGAGGUUAUAGAUCUCUCGGUUUGGGAGCCAGAGGCCUGAAGCAAGGUGGAUAUGGAGCCCAGGGAGUUUAUGGUGCCAGUUUGGGAACAGGAAUGGGUCUGGGCCCAGGACUUACUAAUGGACUGGGAUUUGGUUUGGGCCAAGGCGGAAAACGUGCUUACGGUGCUGGUCUUGGAACUCUUCCAGGAUAUGAAGCUUUUGGAGGCGCUGGGUAUCCAGGAGCUCGACCAGGCUAUCUUGGUGGAGCAGGAAACUACCAGGGCGCAAGCCUGGGAGCUGUAGGCUAUGGAGCAGGUCUGGGACAGGGGGCGUACCUGGGUGGCGCAGCUGGAAAGCUUAGUGCAGCUGCUGCGCUUGGACAAGGUGGGUAUCCCCAAGGUGUUCCAGGCAAGACAAACGGUUAUGGUGAUGGCGUAACGGGAUACCUCGGCGCUGUGGCAGGUAACGGCUUUGGUUAUGGGAAUGGAUACAGCGAUGGUUACGGAGCUGCCCUGAGCACAGGAGGCUACACAGGACAGCCCCAGGGGCCGUACGGAGCACUUGCUACAGGACUGGACUCAACUGCUGGCAAAUAUGGAGCAGGAGCUGCACAGGUUCCUUAUGGGAAUGCUCCUGUAAUUCCUGCAGGACUGGAAGGUAACGGAGGCUACCCGUACGCCGCUCAGCAGCUCGGCCUCACUGCUGAAGGUGCCAAAGCCGCCAGCAAAUAUGGAGCUUCUUCAGGUUAUGCAAAUCACCCAACAGGUUACGGUGCACAGCUUGGAGCUACCCAAGAUGCCUUGGGAGAGCAGGCUGGGAAGUACGAUGGAGUGAACGCUGCCCUAGGUAACGGGUACAAAGGCUAA